UGUUGGUUGAAAUUUGCUAGAGAUUCACCUCAGCAAAGAGCCCAUGGAUUUGUCCUAUGCUCCCUCUGCAGAAGCAAAUACCAGGGGAGUGGCUGUCACUAGUCUGAAGGUCACCCACAGGCUUGGAGGCCAGGGACAGGUACCGGGCAAGCUUACCACCUCACACCCAGACAGGGUACUGUCUGUCACUGGGUAAAGAGGACCUGAGGUCAGUCACAGGUUUCUGGAAAAGGGGACCCUCUCUUAUACCUUUGGGCUUUAGCUGAGCUUCAAUUCAAGUUGGUGGUCAGAGACCUCACGAAAGGAUUAAUGAUCAAGCCACACUCAUCUUUGUGGCCAUGACCCUUCUCCCAGUUGGUCCUCAACAGUCACCAGCUUAGGAACCAGCUUCAACCAUCGGCUUGGCAGUCAGGGUCACACAGGAGAGCCAGGGAAGGAGAGUGUGGGGAUGCUUAGGAUGUCCAGGGCCAGAUGAGUCAUCUGGGGACUGGUCAGCUGGACCACAAUUCUCUUUCUCCAGUCUGUUCUAAGCAGUGUAAAGAUUUGAGACCGAUACUGGCACCCAACUGAGGAAAUCAUAGGGGCUUUUCCGAGGGCUAGGACUUCUGCCCUGUAGAGGAAAAGGUUGCCAAAAACCUUCAAUAUGCUAGAACGCUAUUGAGUUGUCUUGGAUUGACUUCUGGCACAGGGCUCAGCAUAUCAUGAGAUCACAGCAGAUGCAGGCCGCUUUCCUGGAUCCACUGCCAUGGCUUCCAAAUGCUCACAGAGAGGAGAAAGAGGAUGCUACUCUUCAUCGGCCACAGCAAAAAACGAACUAGACUCCGCCGUAGAGAUAUCAGGUUGCUUCUGAACCUGUGCUGAGGAGGGAACGUUCCAGUCCUCAAGUGGUAAUGAAAGACCGUGCACUGACCUAUGAGGUGGCAGUCAUUGCAGACUGCAGAGGCAAAGCUUCACGCUGCAAGGCUUGGACUCUCCAAACAGCCGUCUGCAGAGGAGACUGGGGCUGAGAAAAGCCAUCAAUUUCCCUUCCAUUUCAAUCUGAAGAGGAAGCUUCCUUGGCCGAGAAAGGGUCGCUCCUUGUUGUAAUAAUAUCUGACAGGAAAGUGACUUGAAGGUUCACUUGGGCUUAACUACUGGGAAAUAAUACCAGAAAAGGGCCAGAGACAUGGAGACAGUUUGGCUCCCCGUGCUGAGAGGGUGACGUCAGCCGUGCAGAUAAAUUCCAAAGGAUCCAUUGCCCCUCAAACAAUGUUUUACUAGCUUGUAAAAUGUUCCAAAGCUCUGUCCAUCCUGACAACUCCUGGGGGCUAUCCAGGACAUUCUGGAAAGUUACAGUAAGAAAGUGUCUGUCCAGUUCUCCUUCACCCAGAGCCUAAUUUCUUUUUAGACUUAGCCUAAUUUCUCUCUGCUGCGUGAGUCACUGUUAAACGGGAACACUUGUUUCAGCCUUAAUACUGAAUGUCAGGCAAGAGAGCAUGGAAAAAUGAGCAGAGCGUAGAUUGCAAUCGGAAAGCAUGCCGGAGCUCGAUGACGGCCACAGCAUUCAAGUGGCUCCCUCCGACUUCCUGUGCCUUCGCUGGGUCACCGGGCAAGCCCUGCCGAUGGGCGUUCUUGCUUUCAACCUCCACAUUAGCAAAGCAACAUAAAUAAAACCAGGAGAUAAGUUGCUCAAGAAUAGUUAGCGGAAGAGCUGUUACUAAUCAUUCUCGAUGUCAUUUGUGAAAAGAGAAAGGGGAAUUCGAGACAAUAAAAGCAGAGAGGGAAGGGUCCAAGGACCAUCAGGAAGAGCUCCUCGAGUUCUAUGAAGACCUAAUGUUAUUUAGUGGGUCCUGGUCCCAAGAGACAGAGACACAGUCCAUCCAACCCAGUCAUGAUUCCUUUAUAGAGGCUGCAAGCUAGGUUUAUAAAGAGCUCUUGAAGAUAUAUAAUGUCUGACUUGUUGCUGACAGAGCCGAGUUCUGUCUCAUUAUUGCUGUUUUCCAGGCGAGGAACCAGACACUUGGAGAAGGUACCUUGCCCAAUGUCAUCCAGCUAAUAAGUAGUAAAAACAGACCACCCAGCAACCUAGCUCAUCUGAGUCCAAGUGAAUGCUCUUUGCCCUACAUUUCCGAACUUCAUAAAUAGAUGAGUUAACCAGAGCUUGUGUCAUUGGACAUCAAAGGAGACAUUUGUCAAAAGAGACCAAGUGUGCACUCGGGCAACUGAGUUUAGAGGAGGGUUCACUAAAAUCUCCCCCACCUACUCACACAAAAUGUGAAUGACAGAUCACGCUAGAGGAGAUGCCUCGAAGAAACCUGGCCAUGGGGGUUGAGGGUAGCACUACAAGCCAGGAAAUCCCCUUGAAACUGAUGACUGUCCAAAUAGUUCACUGGGAUCUCAGAUCCCAGAAUCUCAGGGAAGCCCUGGUCUUCUCCGGCUUCUGGAUGUUAAAACCCGGUCCUAAGGAUACAAACUUGGACUCUGUUCCCAGGGUACCAUUCACACAAACUCAAGAGUUUCUCUUUCUGCUACACUCAACCUUCCCAGAACUGUCUCAAGAGGUGAAGAGGGGACAAAAUAAUGCCCCCAGGUGUGGACUCUAGGGUAGGUAUGACCUCCUCAGGAGCCCAGGCCAAGGCAAAGUGGCUCAUUUUGGCCAAUACAGUCAGCAAGCCCAGAUGGUAGGGGAAAAAGGCGGAAAACCAGUAGGCAAGGAAAAUGCACUGUCAUCCAAGAACAAUAAAGUUUAUGUAUUCCCAGACGUGGGUCCUCCCACCUAAUCAAAGCCAAGGCCUACACCAGUGAAAAGAACUUUUCUCCAGCAAAAUGGGGAAGCAGCUUGUUUGGGUGCUAAAUUUAGAUUUUACCCACAGGGGAUGUGCUCUGGUUCUCUGGGGUUGCUUACAGAACAGGCACAAGGUCAGUGUCCCUGCUGGCUCCGCUUCAACGGUCUCACAUACCCUGCGCCAUCUUGUCCGUGGGCUUGGGCUCUGCCCCAGGCUUGCUCACAACUUGACCAUGUUUGCUUUUGCUCACUGUGUGUCGGCUCUGUCUUGACAUCACCAGGGAGCAGCUGCUCAAUACCCAUUGCUCCAAAGACCAGGGUUCGAAGAAGUCAGAGAGUGACCAAAGGCUAAGCCUCUUCCCUACCCAGGUAAACUAAGGGGAUCUUGGGAAGACUCUAUUGAAGGAGCAACAUUUAGCAAAGAAACCAAAUGACUGGAAUGCAGGGAAUUAAAUGGUUGCACAGAAAGAGCAAUGGCUUACCACAGUUACACGGGCAGCAGUGAGAGCACUGAACGGGGUACACCCCUGCAGUGGAGAAACGCCCUCCUCCACGUACAGCCCACCUACCAGCAGUGGCCUCUCUCCUUCACCAAUGCUUUUAGGAAUGCUUUUCUCAAGCAUGGCAGACUUUCAGGGAAGUUGAGGGGGAAGUGAGUGUGGUUCCCACCAAAGCAAGUCAGACAUUUUGUUUCUUGAUCUUCCUUCUCAACUACGCUGAAAGAUGAGGAUGGGGGUGGGGAUGCUCUCACCCUCCGGAUUUCUCCUCUCACUUUUUUUUUCUUUUAAAGAUUUAUUUAUCAUACUCACUGUAGCUGUCUUCAGACACACCAGAAGAGGGCAUCAGAUCUCAUUACAGAGGGUUGUGAGCCACCAUGUGGUUGCUGGGAAUUGAACUCAGGACCUCUGGAAGAGCAGUCAGUGCUCUGAACCUCUGAGCCAUCUCUCCAGCCCUCUCCUGUCACCUUAACCUGCCACCUCCUACUACAUCCCGCUCUGUCCCCAUCAGAACUGAUAAAUUCAGGAAGGGCUUGCAAGGCUUGGGCUGGUGAUAGUCUUGUUGAUGCUUCCUUAAUCCCUGGCUGCUUUCACUAACAGACAUAAUCAGUGACCCCACCCCUAACCCCCCUACACACUCUUUAUUUUCAGAGGAAGCAGGGCUGCCUCCAUCCAGAACAGGACUCCUGGCUGGCUGGUUGAGAUAUGUCCCUCAACUGUCCUAGACUGGCUCAGCAGGUCAGCACUUUCGAGAACUGUCCUUAGCCAGUUCACCAUGAGCGCGCAAUGUCCACCAAGUAGACCAUGUGGAUGUUGCCUCGGAAGCAAGUCAUCGGUCUUGAGCUCUGAGGCUUGCUGGGCCAAGCAGGAAAAUUAAGACCACAAAUCCUGCUAAACAAAGUAGAUAUGCUUUUCAUUAGCUAGACACUUCCUGAAGGGGCUUGCAUUACAACAGCACAACGUACUAAACAAGAGGGCUGGGAGCCUACUGGGUGACUGCAGUGGACAUGUGUGCUCCCUUCAAAACCAAGCACACACAAAUAACUAAGUUACCAUGCGAAGACACUGGAACCAGCAGGCAGGAGCUGUCGCCCUCUACUGGAUGGAAUGUCACAAGAAUGCCAGGCUUUCAUACUUGGCAACUGCCUGGAUGGUUUGUUACCUCUCAAGGAUGGAGGUGCUUUCCUUGGUGGUCUUGGUGAGCUUCCCACGGAGGAGGGAGAGCAGAAAGAGGAGAGGAGGGCUGGAGAGAUGGCUCAGCGGUUAAGUGUGCUGACUGCUCUUCCAGAGGUCCUGAGUUCAAUUCCCAGCAACUACUUGGUGGCUCACAACCAUCUGGGAUCCGAUGUUCUCCUGGUACAUCUGACAGCUACAGUGUACUCCUAAAAAUAAAUAAAUAAAUAUUUUUAAAAAAGGAGAAAAUGAGACAGUGACAAGACAUCAUGGUACUGCCUUGCAAAGUGCCUUCAUGCAGACCAUCACCUGAACCUCUAAUGUCCCUGACAGAUGUGUUAUUGCCAAUAGACACUUUAACAGAGUAUAAACCAGAGCCAGAAAGGGGUAAGGACAUGAUUUGACUCUGGCUUUCUAAUCCAACCUAGAAUAGCUUCCUUCUACUCCCUUCUUGUCUGCUAGAUUGUAUUUACUAAACAUUUACUUGCAAGGAACCUGGCUCUCUAAAGGUAGGGACUAGCAGAGGGCAGGGCAAAGCAAAAUCUCUUACGGGGCUCUCCUGGGGCUGUAGAAAAAGAGUAAACGAAUAAUAUUGUGAUGUCAAAAAGGAAUAAUACUGAGGGAUUUUUUUUUUAAGUAAUGGGGCAGAUUGGCACAGCAAUGUGGGAGUGGCCCCUGGAGUCCGUAGCAGACUGCCUCUGGUCACUGACAUAGCAGAGGUUCCACCACGGGAAAGAGAGCUCCACUCUACAGCAUCUGUACGACCUGAUUCCUUGACACUCACCAGACCACUUACACAGGUUGAGCUGCUUUGCUAUGUGAAAACCUGGAAACCGCUCAGGAGAAUGAUAGAUGCUGUGCUCCACCUGCACGACUGAGUGCUACUUAGCUGCCCAAAGGAAGAAAUUAUUGAUUUGUAAAACAACAUUGGGUGUUUAUAGGAGGGGCAUUACGCUGAAUAAAAGAAGCCAA